UACAGAGGGUGCAAGCGUUGUUCGGAAUUAUUGGGCGUAAAGCGCGUGUAGGCGGCUUUGCAAGUCGGGUGUGAAAGCCCUCAGCUUAACUGAGGAAGUGCGCCCGAAACUGCAGAGCUUGAAUACCGGAGAGGAUGGCGGAAUUCCCCAAGUAGAGGUGAAAUUCGUAGAUAUGGGGAGGAACACCGGUGGCGAAGGCGGCCAUCUGGACGGCUAUUGACGCUGAGACGCGAAAGCGUGGGAGCAACAGG
rnacentral:rRNA from 1 species